GGGAAAUGUGUCGGCACUCGGCUGUAUUUCAACACGGAGGACGUCUGGGAGCAGCAAAAAGAAAUUCAACUGAUGAUAUUCAACUGUCGAAGUGAAGAAGAAUUCGUCAUUGAGCUGAUGGAAAAUGUGUUGGCACUCGGCUGUAUUUCAACACGGAGGACGUCUGGCAGGAGCAAAAAGAAAUUCAACUGAUGAUAAUCAACUGUCCAAGUGAAGAAGAAUUCGUCAUUGAGCUGAUGGAAAAUGUGUCGGCACUCGGCUGUAUUUCAACACGGAGGACGUCUGGGAGCAGCAAAAAGAAAUUCAACUGAUGAUAUUCAACUGUCGAAGAAUAUUUAUUACUGAAGAAGAAUUCGUCAUUGAGCUGAUGGAAAAUGUGUCGGCACUUGGCUGUAUUUCAACACGAAGGACGUCUGGCAGCAGCAAAAAGAAAUUCAACUGACGAUAAUCAUCUGUCGAAGUGAAGAAGAAUUUGUCACAAAACUGAUGGGAAAUGUGUCGGCACUCGUCUUCGUUUCAACCCUGAGGAAGAUUGGCAGCAUCAAUAAGAAGCUCAUCUUAGUUAAGUUGUCCCCCCCUUUACGCAUUAGCGCUCAUCUCUCAUCCACUCAUCCAACACAUUUACUAUCGCCGGCCGGCAACACACACAUAUUAUACACAUUACCCGUUUUAUAUUAUAUAAAAUUAUUAAUAUCUACAUAGUUUAAGUUAUUGUAUAUUUUUUUUUUAUUAUUUGAAUGCAUUCAUAUGAUCAGUUGCGUAUUUAGAAAUUUUAGGAUAAGAGCAACACAUAUUUUGUUGCCUCCCCCCCAUUAAAUAAAAAAUUAAAAAAACUUCUA